GCUCCAGUUAAGGCCUACUGGGGCCUGGGGUUGAACUCAAGGGGCUAACCCAAAGUAAAAGCUGAGCUGCUGUGUCUUCACUGCCAUUUAUGACCCAAGUUAUGAGCACCCUUCUUUCUGCAGUGUAGAUUGUGAUGGAAGCUGAGCCUCGAAGGAAGAGGUGGCCGGCAGCCUCUGCAAGUGAAAAACUGGAAGAAGGGCAGAGGUGCACACAAAUAUAGGAGCUGCUAUCCCAGUCAGACCAGGGAUGCAUCCAGGCCGGUCUUGUCUCUAACCGUGGACAGGAGCAGGUGCAAGAUGCCCCACACUCUGAAUGCUGGUGGAACCUGCCCAUACGGGUGAUCGCAUUGUCCAUAUGAACAUCCAAUUGGCUCUUGAACCUACAGAGAGCUCUGGGCCUCCAUGGUAUUUUGUGGCAAUGAGUUCCACAGAGUAACUGCUGAGUUUAAAAUGCUUCCUUUAAUCUGUUUUAAAUGUGUUACCUUUGAAGUUCAGUGUU